GAGGGGGUGCAAGCGUUAUUCGGAAUCAUUGGGCGUAAAGGGUGUGUAGACGGUAUAUUAAGUCAGCUGGUUAAAUUUUCCGGCCUAACCGGAAGCCUGCGGUUGAAACUGGUUUACUAGAGGAUGGAAGAGAGAAGUGGAAUUCUCGGAGUAGCGGUAAAAUGCGUAGAUCUCGAGAGGAACACCAAUGGCGAAGGCAGCUUCUUGGUCCAUUCCUGACGUUGAGACACGAAAGCGUGGGGAGCAAACAGGAUUAGAUACCCUGGUAGUCCACGCCGUAAACGAUGAUCACUAGACGUUAGUUCUGUUUUACAGGAUUAGUGUCGUAGCUAACGCGUUAAGUGAUCCGCCUGGGGAGUACGGUCGCAAGAUUA
rnacentral:rRNA from 1 species